ensembl:snRNA U12 U12 minor spliceosomal RNA
AUGCCUUAAACUGAUGAGUAAGGAAAAUAACGAUGCGGGGUGACGCCCGCGUCCUCGCUGAUACUCGCGAAAUGAAUUUUUGAACGGGUACAGGUCUGACCUGAGGGUGUCCAGCCUACUCUGCAGGAUGCCCCGGGAACCAGGAUCUGCCCC